CUACUAAGUAUUAAACACUGUAUGGAUACUUUUUAUAUUGUGGUGGUUUUAAGAUAUGUCCACAAAAUCUCCUGAUUCUCUUCAAAAGGCAGUUCCUAAUUCUCUUCCCUUUGGUAUGGGCUAAACUUAGGGACUCAGUUCUAAGGAACAGAAUAAAAGAAAAGUGACAGUAUGUGACUUCACAGACUAGGUCAUAAAAGGCACUGUGGCUUCCGGCUUGCUCUCUCUUCCUCUGAGAUCACUUUUUUGGGGGAAAGCCACUGCCAUAAUCAUGAGGAACAUGUGAAGUACCAAGGCCUCCUGCUGACAGCGAUACAAGUGAGCUUAGAAACCCUAUUCAAGCAAGCCUUCAGAUGACUACCUAAGCCCCAACCUAAGCCUUGACUUCAAGCUUUUGAGGGACCUUGAGCCAGGACCAUCCAAAAAACUUCAAGAAUAGCACAGGAUUCAGGAUUCCUGAAUACCCUUCACCUAGAUUAUUCAAAUAAUGAUUCUGAAGUAAGAAUGACUACGGCUUUGCUACUGGAAGAAUGGACCAAAGACAGCAGCAGUGGCAUCACUUAGAAGCCUGUUAGAAACCAGAAUCUCAGCCCCAUCUCAGACCUACUAAAACUGAAUCAGCAUUUUAACAAGACUCCAGGUGGUUUACACGCAUGUUGAAGUUCAAGCAGCACUCCUCUGGGACAGAUUCUGCCACUUCCUACUUUUGUAACUUUGGGCCAGAUUGUAUUAGUCCGUGUUCUCCAGAAAAACAGAAGCAGUAGUAUAUGCGCACAUACAGUUGACCCUUGAACAACAGAGGGAAGAAGAAUCUUUGUGUGGCUGCCAAAACCCUAACUGUCCCUCCUCCUUCCCCUCUCUCCCUUCCACCCCCAUCCCAGUUCAUUAAAGACCUUCUGGUUAAAGGUGCCAGAAUGUGUCAUUCUUUCCUGCUCUGGUGCCAGGCCUGUGCUGCCAGCACCACAGAUCUUCUAGAGUACUGAGCAAAUUAUCGAAGAAAUUAAAGACACUGAUGAAUUUAUACUGUUCUGUUGUUGAUGAAACUAAGUUUCUUAACUUCUGAUGAGCUAUUUCAUAUUACUAAUAGCACUACUGAUCGGUUAAUUCGGAUUUGUGUGUG